GGAGAGAGCACGGCGGGUUCGCCCCCGCGUCCCGCUCGGGCACACGCACUUUGGCGCUGCGGCGGAAGGAGGCGGUGGCCAGGGCUGGGCCGCGUGGGCCGGUGCUCCUGUCGAGGCCGUGCUCGUCCUCCUGCAAGCGAGCGCCCGCGGCCCCGGAGCAGCAGGAGCAACAGGAGCAGGAGCAGCAGCAGGAGCCUCAGGAGGAGCAGCAGCAGGAGCAGGAGCAGCAGCAGCAGGAGGAGGAGCAGCAGCAGCAGGAGAAGGAGCAGCAGCAGCAGCAGCAGGAGCAGGAACAGCAGCAGGAGCCUCAGGAGGAGCAGCAGCAGGAGCAGGAGCAGCAGCAGCAGGAGGAGGAGCAGCAGCAGCAGCAGGAGCAGGAACAGCAGCAGGAGCAGCAGCAGGAGCAGCAGCAGGAGCAGCAGCAGGAGAAGGAGCAGCAGCAGGAGCAGGAGGAGCAGCAACAGGAGCAGGAGGAGCAACAGCAGGAGGAGGAGCAGCAGCAAGAGGAGGAGCAGCAGCAGCAGCAGGAGCAGGAACAGCAGCAGGAGCAGCAGCAGGAGCAGGAGGAGAAGCAACAGGAGCGGGAGGAGCAACAGCAGGAGGAGGAGCAGCAGCAGCAGCAGGAGUAGCAGCAGCAGCAGGAGGAGGAGGAGCAGCAGCAGCAGCAGGAGCAGCAGCAGGAGCAGCAGCAGCAGCAGGAGCAGCAGCAGGAGCAGCAGCAGGAGCAGCAGCAGCCACACCCCCACCCCCCCACCCCCCGUCGUGCGCAGCACGAGGAGUGGGCGGGUUUGCGCGCUGGUGGGGACAGGGACACCCGCGCCUGUGCCUCGCCCUGGGGAGCCCGGUCCGUGCGCGGGACUCGGGGCUCCGGUGGGGGCGGUGGGGGCGGCGGAGCGUCCUGGGCCCCCGCGGCCUCACGGCCAGGCUCUCUGCUCCGUUCCCGGCUCGGACCCGAGCAGAGUGAAGCGACGCCUGGGGUCCCGGAAGAUGGAGCCACCCGAGACCAUAGGACCUGGGUCCUGGAGGGUCAGGGUCCGGCCUCGCUGUCCCAGACAGCGUCAGUGA
rnacentral:lncRNA from 1 species